rnacentral:rRNA from 1 species
UACGUAGGGGGCUAGCGUUGUCCGGAAUCAUUGGGCGUAAAGCGCGCGUAGGCGGCCAGAUAAGUCCGGUGUGAAAGUCACAGGCUCAACCUGUGAAUGCCGCUGGAAACUGUCUGGCUUGAGUCCGGAAGGGGCGAGUGGAAUUCCUGGUGUAGCGGUGAAAUGCGCAGAUAUCAGGAGGAACACCGAUGGCGAAGGCAGCUCGCUGGGACGGUACUGACGCUGAGGCGCGAAAGCGUGGGGAGCGAACAGG